GCCCAGGUGAUGGAAUUGGUAGACAUGCCAGCUUGAGGGGCUGGUGCCUAAUUGCGGGCGUGCAGGUUCGACUCCUGUUCUGGGCA
rnacentral:tRNA from 1 species